UCGAGCCGUGUGAGGGGAAACUCUCACGCACGGUUCUUAGAGGGGAAGGAGGCGGCAACGCCUCCGACCCACUCGGU
rnacentral:ncRNA from 1 species